GUGUGCUCUUGGGACACUCUCGCUCAGAUCAUCCUCCCGGUCGAUGCACCCAAAAGGUGUGCUCCAGGGAGGGGAUCGAGCGGGAGUGCCCUGGACCCUCUCCCUAGCCCACGUGGCUAGAGUUGUCUGUCUUGUAUUAGCUAUUGUGUGGUACAUGCUAAUAAACAGCUUUCGCUUUCAGUUAUUGUGUGUGACCCUUUGCUUCCACCAUUGGACUGGCUACUCCCCUGGGAGCUCCGUGAGCAGCAGAGAGCUCCCAGUUGGCGAGCCAGCCAGGAGAACACAGACGAAGUAGAGUGAGCCAUCCUUCGAGCCUCUAAAGCCUCAAUGAAUUCCUCCAGCUGAUAUAUGUGGAGAAUGAAUGGACCAUAGAAGGGCAAGUUAGAAGCAAAGAAGUUAUUAAAGAAGACAAGGUGAAAAAAAAAAGAAGACAAGAUGAAGGACUAAGAACCUUGUAUCUAGAAUAUCACCAUACCUGUGAAUGAAAUGCAUCUGCUCCAAGUAGACACAACCUUUUGAAAUAUCUACACACAGAUCUACAAGGUCAACCAAGAAUCUUAGGCUAUCAGAGCUUAAAAAGAAAGAAGAGCCUGAGAACAUUUUCAAUUCAAGAUCCCAUUUUAUAGAUGCAGAAACUGAGGUCCUGAGAAUGAAAGACUGGACCAAGGUGUAUGGGGCCAGAUGAGUCAAUUCUGGUGUAUUUGACCCAGCACUGCCAUCUUGGACCUGGGAUAGGGAAAGCACGCGUGUGGCUGUUCUGGAAUGUUGCCUCUGAGCCUUCUCUGUGGAGGAAAGGCUGGCUCCAAAUGAACUUAGCAUAAUGGGGACUUAGAGCCUGUGGUAUUCUGGCACUCAGCACCUACCAGCAUUCUACCCACUGGUGGGAGUAAGGGCAGUGAGGCACAGAAGCUAUCCUGCCCAGGAAAGGCCACGGAAGAACCCUUGAGAACCAGUCAGUAGAGCCAUCAGAAUCCUGACUAAAUAGGAAUAAUCUGAAAAGAGCUGGCCCAUGUUUUCCAUUUCGCUCCCUCUUCUUGACCCCAAACAAACAAAGCACAAUCUACAGAUAAAUGGUCUUGUUAAAGAUGGGGACUAAGUGGGUGCAUUUUUAGUCCCACUCUCUCCCCAGACCUUAUUAAGAUGACAGUAGAAGGAAAAUGGUUAUAAUCUUACAAGUACAAAUACAUCAGGAAAAUAAGUUUAGUGCAUGAAACAUUUGGGGGAAGCAAAGUGGAUGGAGGGAUGGUCCUUCAGCAGAGCUGAGAGACAGCUGGGCUGUCUGCAGGGGGAGAGGCAAGAAUUAGGCUGUGUUUCACUAGAAAACUCUCUACAGGCUCUGCAGUUGGAGGUAGCAGACAUCUCUGAAAGCAGGGGUGAGGGGCAAGCCUGGAAGCAAGAGGAAUGUUUGGAAGUUUAUUUUAGGAGCUAACUAGAUCCCAGGUCCUCCCACCACAGCAGGAGGCUUUCCACUGUAGAAAACACACACACACACACACACACACACACACACACGCGCGCGCGCGCGCGCGCGCGCGCGCGCCUGCGCACGGAAUUAGAACAACUCCAAGUUCAAAGAUAUCAGUCACACUCCGACACAGUGCUGAAAAUGGAGAGGAAAAUUAAAUGGGAGCCCCUAUACUCAGCCCUUGGACCUUCACCCUCUCCCCUCUCACCUCCCUGAACUGAGGCUUAGGCCCUGAUAGCCCAGGCAGGACAACAGCAGAUUCCUCCCUGGGGAAAGUGGGGUGUGCCAGGGAAGACACCCAGAUACUGUCCUUAGGGGAUUUGGGAACCCCCAGUGAAAAAGCAGGGUCCCACAUGACAACCAAAAGGAAGCUACCACAGUGUGUCUGUGGUUCCAGUCAGCCUCUUAGAACUCACUGUUAAAUAAGAAGACCAUCCACAAAUCAACAAACUGCUUGAUAAAAUGUCUCACAUUACAAACAGAUCUCAGAACAAAGAGGAUAAAGGAGUCAGGACAAUGCAGGAAGAAAAUUAAUACUUUAAAAAACUAUAGUUAGUGUCCUAGGAACGAUUAGAGAAGAUUUUGCCCAUAUGAAAAAAAUAUAUAUAUUAUUUUAAGAAGCAAUCAAAACAUAAGAAUGAUUUUGUGCAAAAUUAAAAUCUUAAAUUCUAUUUUAAAAAUUACAAAAAGCUCCCAUAAUUGAGAGCACAAAUACAGAGUUGGAAAACAGACAAAAACUGCUAACAGAACAAAAGGAUAAAACAAAGCAGCCCAUUAUCCAGCUAAUAGAGUUUUGAGAACAAGGAAAUCAAGAGAACAAAGAAUUUUAUUUGUUAUCAAAAAAUAAUAUAGAAAAAUACCCAGAACUAAAAGGGGUGAUUUUCCAGACUGAGUGUCCAGAUUGGUAAAAAGUACCACAGAUAAGAAGUUCCUAAAAUUUUCCGGAGAGGAGGAGCAGAAAGCAGGUCACUGAUUGCAAGUCCAAGAAUCAGAAUGGCAUAAGACUUCCUAAAGGCAACUGUACAAGCCAGAAAACAAGAGUGAAGGGGUUUUCAGCCUAGAAUCCACCCAACUUAUUCAUCAAGUGUGAGGGAAGAAAAAGGACAUUUUUCUCAAAAAAGAGGGGUAAAAAGAAGACUUUUGCCUCACAUGCCUGCUUUCUUGUGAUUUCUCUCAUUCACAACCAAACAAAAAAGUCAUGGAAUAGAGGAAACUAUGGUCCAGCAAGGAAAUCAGCAGGGUAAAACUGAAAGGAACCCCAAGGAUAACAAAUCUGCAGGGAGCCCAGAAGACAAGCACCUGUAUUGGCUCCAGGAGACUGUCCAAGAAAAAAACCUGUCAGGUGCUGGAUCAGCUGAUCUAUUUAACCCCAAUGACAGAGGUGCUACAAUUCUGUCAGAGCUGAGGUAUAUAAAAAAAAAAAAAAUGAAGCAACUGGGGAAAACAAAAGAGGCGUUUAUUAUUCUCGCCCAAAGUGGGGAAGAAAACACAAUCACAGCUUUUGAGUAACUCAUUUGUAAGUAGUAGUCAUAGUAAUGUAAGUCUGCACUAUUGAAUAAUCUGAAAAUUUUGAUAGAGGUCGGAGGAUAGGGAAACACACUUGCCAAUGUGUAGGGCUGGUGGGGUGUCGUCUGGUCCUGGGUCAGUCCAAGACAGUUAAAUUCUCACCUCUUAAAGGAGGGAGUCAGGAGAUUUCCUCCAAGACUGAAAAAAUCCAUGUGCAGCAGUAUACAUGGAGUGUGCAGGAGCAUAGAGGUAAAUACCAGAAGAAACGUGUAGAUGCCUGCCAUGUGGGAAUGAGACAGUCUUUCGCUAUAAACCGUGUUUUCUAUUUCAGUGUUUUAGUCACAGAACAUGUACUUCGAUAGAAAUAAAAAGCAAUUUUUUAAAUCUA